UACAGAGGGGGCAAGCGUUUAUUCGGAAUUAUUGGGCGUAAAGGGCGCGUAGGCGGCUUGGCAAGUGGAUGGUGAAAUCCCUCGGCUUAACCGAGGAACUGCCGUCCAAACUGCUUUGCUUGAGGCCGGGAGAGGCGAGUGGAAUUCCCAGUGUAGCGGUGAAAUGCGUAGAUAUCAAGUGGAACACCAGUGGCGAAGGCGAAUCCCUGGAAAAUACCUGACACUGAGGCACGAAAGCUAGGGGAGCAAACAGG
rnacentral:rRNA from 1 species